AGUAUAGUCAUUUUGAUACUAUUGACACUUCCAAUCCAAGAGCAUGGUUUGUCUUUCCAUUUGUUUGUGUCAUCUUUGAUUUCUGUAAUCAGCAUCUUAUACUUUUCAGAGUACAGGUCUUUUGUCCCUUUAGGUAGGUUUAUUCCUAGGUGUUUUAUUCUUUUCAAUGUGAUGGUAAAUGGGAUUGCUUCCCUAAUUUCUCUUUCUGAUGUUUCAUUGUUAGGAUAUAGAAAUGCAGUUGAUUUCUGUGUAUUAAUUUUAUAUCCUGUGACUUUGACCAAUUCGUGGAUGGGCUCUAACAUUUUGCUGGUAGAGUCUUUAUGAUACUCUAGGUAUAGGAUCACGUCAUUUGCAAAUGGUGCCAGUUUCCCUUCUUCCUUUCCAAUUUGGAUUCCUUUUAUUUCUUUUACUUCUCUGACUGCUGUGGCUAGGACUUCGAAAACUAUGUUGAAGUGUAGUGGAGAGAGUAGAUAUCCUUGUCUUGUUCCUGAUCUCACCAGGAACUCCUUCAGCUUUUCACCAUUGAGAAUGAUGUUGGCUGUGGGUUUGUCAUCUGUGGCCUUUAUUAUGUUGAGGUAGGUUCCCUUUAUGCACACUUGCUGAAGGGUUUUUAUCAGAAAUGGGUGUUGGAUCUUGUCAAAGGCUUUUUCAGCAUCUAGUGAGAAGAUUACACAGUUUUUAUUGGUUUCUGCCCAAUGUUGCUAGAGCUGAGGGAGGUAUCAUGAGUAACUGGUACUGAGAGUAACUGCACAGAAAAUACAAGCAAGCACAUUUGUCUGUAGUUUUGGGCAGCUGAUUGGCUAUAGCAAGCUUGGCAAAUCUUUAAUCCUUCCUCUUCCUACUAGUAGUACAAGAUACAAAAAUAAAGGAUAUUUAGGCUGCUGGUUGUAUCCCCACCUCUCGCAUCAUCUGUAUUAGGAUGUAGGAUAAUGGAGAGCCCUUACUACCAUCUUACUAAUUAGUUGAAUUGGAGAAUUUUAAAUUUUUCCAGGGGAUAUUUUCAUAUUCUCCAAUUAGGCCUCUGAAGGAGCCUUACUUAUUCGAUUCCAGAAAGUCAAAUCUCUCAUGGCAUCCUGUCAUCACCAAAAAAUGGAAGUAAAUUAGAAGGGUCUUAGAUUUUACCAUAUUUGAAAUUCCAGUGUUUUAGCCUUGCAGUUUUGACAAUGUUAGGAAAAAAUAUUUUAGAUGCCUUAGUAUGUGCCAAAAAAAUAUUUUCAUGACACAAACGGACAGCAAUAGUACUGAUGUUUUUAUCUGUACCUUUGGUGCACAUGUCCCAUAGAGUGAUGCAAAGUAGUCCAGUUGGCUGCUGUGUAAUCAGUAUAUAGGGAUUAAAGAUCAGGAAUCUUAAGCUUCGCUCAUCCCAAACUCUUCAAUUAGGAUGAAAGCAAUGCUGUCUAACAUCUGAGCAGAGCAAGACACUCUCUGUAUUUUAUUCAUCAGGUAAUUAAUCUGCAUUUUGCCCCAACCAGAGACAGUUGGCAUCUUCAUCAGUGUGUUGUACAAAAGUCACUGAACAGAGGUGCAAGCAGAAGCUGAUACAAGAUAGGAAAGAAAUGAAAGGCCCUUGUGGGAUUUUCUCCUAACACAUUGCAAUCUCCCAUUUACAACGUGGGAGCACUCAACCCUCUGAGGAAAAAGGCCCAAGGAAGGGUUUUGCAUCUGUGGUUCUAUGGGCGUGCUAAAGAUGUGGAGAGUCAAGAAGAGUUGGUGAGAAUGAUGAUAAGAUUUUUAAAAAACAGAUUCAUGGAUAAAGUGAUGUUUACCUGUGUGAAUCAAUGAGAGGUAGGAGCAAAUUUAAGGAAACCCAGAUACAAUAUUUUCUGAAUCAAUGUAAUGUCUUAGAAAGGUUGAAAAACAUUCACAUUUUGAUACAGUGAAUUGAAUUUUUGUGGAAAGCUAACAUUUAAAUCUCAUUUACUAAAUGUAUUGGAAUGAAGAAUAGACAGCAUAGUAACUUCACCUUGAGCUCACCUCUUCGUAGAAGCACACAAAAAUCACAACUGUCAUAAAUGCAUUCAAUAAAUAAAUAAAUAAAUAAAAAUUUUUACAAAAUUGAGAAAAAGCAAAUUCCCAUCUUGGUUCACAGCUUAACAAACCUGACUAGCAUCCAUGAGUAUUUUAGUUUGAUCCCUGGCUUCCCACAGUUGGUAAAGGGCCAGAAUUGUGGUAAACUAUGGUAUAGGUUGCAGAUGUGGCCCAGAUCUGAUGUUGCUGUGGCUGUGGCAUAGAGUGUUGGCUACAGCUCUGAUUGGACCCCUACACUGAGAACCUUCCUGUGCUGUGUGUGUGGCCCUAAAAAACCAUACAAACAGAAAAUUCUUAACUGCCAAUCUUGAACAAUCCUCUAUACAAAAGACUGGAGUCUAUUGAAAAGAGAAAAUAUAUUCUACAUUGAAUGACACACAGAGGAACCCUUGAGACAAGAGAGGGGGGUCUCCUUUGCAAUAUACUCAACUGCCAUACCACCCAGGUGUGAAAACCACAAACUGUAGAUUAAUUAUAUUGCAGAAGUUAUCCAAAAGGAGUGAGAGCUCUUAGCUACAUGCCAUGCUCUCCAGCCUAGUGUUCCAGCAUUAGGAGGUAGAGCCUCCAGAGCAUUUGGCUUUGUAGGCCAGUGGGACUUAAAAGGCUGUUGCUCCAGAAACUGGAAGGAUCAGAGACUACAAUCUGGGAAGAUGCACAGAAGAUCUCACAUGCACUAGGAAAAGGGCAAAACCAGUGAAACAGUGGGAGACUUGGACAGUCCUAUAUGCUGGUCUUAUCAGGAUUCUUGGGCAGACAGGGGGUAGCAGGGCUCUCUUUGGGGUCAUAAAGACUGGUAGCAGAUAUAACAGGGACCUAUGUGAACUUUGGCCAGAGGCAGACAAGUUGGGUCCUUGGCAACAAGACCUGGCCCCACCCAACAGCCUGUAAACUACAAUGCUGAGAAGCCUUAGGUCAGAAAACCAACAAUGUGGGAAUACAACCCUAUCCAUCAGCAGUCAGGCUAUCUAAAGGCUUUGUGAGCCCAGAGACACCUCUAGACAUGCCCUUUGAAACAGCCCUGCACAACAUAAAGCCAAGACCUGCUUCCUCCACCAGUGGGCACCAAGAGCCUCUAAAACCCAGAAGCCUGCUCAAGCCUCCAGACCAGCCUCCCCCACCAAAACACAGACAGCAGAAUCAAGACAAUAUACAAGGGAAUCACUAUAAGGAUUUGAUGGGGAAAUCAAAUUCUUUACAGAGAAACCAAAUUUUAAAAAAAUUCAACAAACAAAUCUAGCUUUGGGACUAAAAGAACUCUAAGUAGAAAUGCUAAAAGAAAUCCUCUAUGUGGAAAUGGCCACAGGUAGAACCAGGAAAUUUAUGAAGGAGACAAUUAGGAAAUGCUCUCUGUGGCAAAAAAGGAAACAAUAAAAGUAGAGAAGCAUCCACAAAUAUAUAUCAAAGCUGGUAUUUAUAAUUUAAAAACAAUCAUAUUUGUAUAUAGACUACCAUAUUGCAACUUCAUGAUAACCACAAAGCAAAAUCCUAUCAUAGUUAUAUACCAAAAAAGAUUAAAAGGAAUCCAAAUAUAAAGUGAAAGCUAGAUAUCAAAUUGAAGGAGAUGAGACCAAAAAAGGAAAGGAAGGGAAAUCAGUACAAGAUGGCAGAGGAGUGAGAGGUGGAUAUUACCUUCUUCCAAAAAUAUAUAAUAAAAAAUCCGUGUGUAGAACAAUUCUUCCCGUAAAGUCUACUGAACACUGAAAGAAGAAAUCAGCCUUCCUUAAGGACAAGAAAAUCUCCACAUAUCUGGAGUAAGAGGAAUAGAAAUGAAAUGAAGAAGGAGAAGCAGCGAUCCCAAUUAGAAGAACAGGAGACCUCCCCUGAAGGAGCAAACAAUGAAACUGUCUAAUAGACACUGACUUCAAAAGGAGGUAAUGAACGUACCAAAGCAAUUAAGACAGGCUAUCAACAGAAAUGUGGAUUAUUGUAAAAAGGACCUAGAAACUGUAAGGAGGAGCCAAGAAAAAUUAGAAAACUCCUUUGCCAUGAUAAAAGCAGAGUGAAAGGCAAUGAAUAGCAGAAUGAACAAUGUGACCUGGAACUCAAAAAUGGAAAUCACCCAAGCAUGAUAGCAGACAGACAGC
ensembl:lncRNA